rnacentral:rRNA from 1 species
UUUAUGGAGAGUUUGAUCCUGGCUAAGAACGAACGCUGGCGGCAUGGAUUAGGCAUGCAAGUAGAACGAAGCAGCAAUGCUUAGUGGCGGAAGGGUGAGGAACGCG